CCCAUCUAGUUAUCUGAUGUUACAGACGCUCAGCAUGACACAGCAGAAGAGAGUGGGUGAAUAGUUAGUUACAGGGCUCCAGUGACACUCAUUUCUAUUUAAUUCUCUUUGCAUUAGUCAGGCUGUUUAAGUGGACCCUGAUGUAAAUAUGAAUUGAGUCUCUCUGGAGCUGUUUGCUUGCUUCCCUGGAUGGCAAAGGAAGCCACACCAGGCAUACGGCGUGACCCCAUGGCAGAUGUCCCAUCCUCCAGCUUUACUCCCAUGCCUAGGAGACAGGGGCUAAAAUCAAAGACCCACUCAUUUGCCUACUCAGGUGGCAGUCCUUUACAAAGGAUCUCUCAGGAAGCUGAGUUUGGAUUUUUAUUUCCAGAGCACCUACCUGCUUUGCACGAGCCUGGACCUGAUUGCCCCAUUACAGAAAAACAGGGUACUCAUGAUGAGGCCAUGAAGUUCCCCCAGUCAGAAACCAAGGCUGUUGGGAAACUUCUCAAGAAAGGUUCUCAAGGGCCAUUGCUGGAGUGAGCAGAUCUUCUGAGACUUGUCAGCUUUGAG
rnacentral:lncRNA from 1 species